GGCAUUUUUUUUGAAAAGUUUCUUUUAGUCUUACCUUGGCCCAAGUGAGAAUUAGUUUAUCUGCGCAGGUUCCCUGGAUAAAAUAAAGGCAUAGUCUUCAACAAAGAAGGCAAAUCAACAUUAACCUCUGUCGCAGUGAACUACAAGUCUAACUUUGACUUUGAGAAUUGAGAAGGGAGGAACUUGUGGACAUGACUCAAGCCACAGUGUUUGAAAGAAACAGCUGUCUUGGAGAAAUUGGAAGAACAAUAUUAGUGAGGAAGAGGUUGCAAGGAUUCUAAAUAACGUACUGGAAGGAAAUUGGCUCCUGUCUGGGAUCCAUCUAGCAGAAGCUAUGCUCAUGCAACCUCAAGGAAUGGCCAUACCAGAACCACACUCUAGUAUGACGAGCGAGCUGAAACCGUGGACUGAUGAAGAAACAAAAGUUUGGUACAAGGAACCACACUCUACUUUGGCGAGACCUGAAACAGUGGACUAAUGAAGAAAAUGAAAGUCUGGUGCAAGGAACCACACUGUCACUAUGACGAGCGAGCUGAAGUAGUGGAGAUGAAGAAAAUGGAGGUUUGGUACAAUGAACCACAUUCUACUAUGACGAGUGAGCUGAAACGGUGGAGAUGAAGAA